GACGAACGCUGGCGGCGUGCCUAAUACAUGCAAGUAGAACGCACAGUUUAUACCGUAGCUUGCUACACCAUAGCCUGUGAGUUGCGAACGGGUGAGUAACGCGUAGGUAACCUGCCUGGUAGCGGGGGAUAACUAUUGGAAACGAUAGCUAAUACCGCAUAAUAUUGAUUAUUGCAUGAUAAUUGAUUGAAAGAUGCUAUUGCAUCACUACCAGAUGGACCUGCGUUGUAUUAGCUAGUAGGUGAGGUAACGGCUCACCUAGGCGACGAUACAUAGCCGACCUGAGAGGGUGAUCGGCCACACUGGGACUGGGACACGGCCCAGACUCCUACGGGAGGCAGCAGUAGGGAAUCUUCGGCAAUGGACGAAAGUCUGACCGAGCAACGCCGCGUGGGUGAAGAAGGUUUUCGGAUCGUAAAGCUCUGUUGUAAGAGAAGAACGGGUGUGAGAGUGGAAAGUUCACACUGUGACGGUAUCUUACCAGAAAGGGACGGCUAACUACGUG
rnacentral:rRNA from 1 species